GGGCGGUGGCGCGGCUAUACAUGCAGUCGAACGAACUCUGGUAUUGAUUGGUGCUUGCAUCAUGAUUUACAUUUGAGUGAGUGGCGAACUGGUGAGUAACACGUGGGAAACCUGCCCAGAAGCGGGGGAUAACACCUGGAAACAGAUGCUAAUACCGCAUAACAACUUGGACCGCAUGGUCCAAGUUUGAAAGAUGGCUUCGGCUAUCACUUUUGGAUGGUCCCGCGGCGUAUUAGCUAGAUGGUGGGGUAACGGCUCACCAUGGCAAUGAUACGUAGCCGACCUGAGAGGGUAAUCGGCCACAUUGGGACUGAGACACGGCCCAAACUCCUACGGGAGGCAGCAGUAGGGAAUCUUCCACAAUGGACGAAAGUCUGAUGGAGCAACGCCGCGUGAGUGAAGAAGGGUUUCGGCUCGUAAAACUCUGUUGUUAAAGAAGAACAUAUCUGAGAGUAACUGUUCAGGUAUUGACGGUAUUUAACCAGAAAGCCACGGCUAACUACGUGCCAGCAGCCGCGGUAAUACGUAGGUGGCAAGCGUUGUCCGGAUUUAUUGGGCGUAAAGCGAGCGCAGGCGGUUUUUUAAGUCUGAUGUGAAAGCCUUCGGCUCAACCGAAGAAGUGCAUCGGAAACUGGGAAACUUGAGUGCAGAAGAGGACAGUGGAACUCCAUGUGUAGCGGUGAAAUGCGUAGAUAUAUGGAAGAACACCAGUGGCGAAGGCGGCUGUCUGGUCUGUAACUGACGCUGAGGCUCGAAAGUAUGGGUAGCAAACAGGAUUAGAUACCCUGGUAGUCCAUACCGUAAACGAUGAAUGCUAAGUGUUGGAGGGUUUCCGCCCUUCAGUGCUGCAGCUAACGCAUUAAGCAUUCCGCCUGGGGAGUACGGCCGCAAAGGCUGAAACUCAAAGGAAUUGACGGGGGCCCGCACAAGCGGUGGAGCAUGUGGUUUAAUUCGAAGCUACGCGAAGAACCUUACCAGUCUUGACAUACUAUGCAAAUCUAAGAGAUUAGACGUUCCCUUUCGGGGACAUGGAAAACAGGUGGUGCAUGGGUUGUCGUCAGCUCGUGU
rnacentral:rRNA from 1 species